UGCACCUCAGCCGAAGAACUUAUAAGGUCUCUUGUCAACUGAAGCAGUUUCGGAUAAUGGCUCAAAGCUUGCAGCUUUUGCAGCAGAGACGCUUGAUCCUUCUCUGUGUUGGAAGGACAUAGACUGGUUAAGGUCUGUCGCUAGUUUGCCAAUUCUAGUCAAAGGGGUCCUGACAGCUGAAGCUGCAAUAAAAGCUAUGGAAGUAGGGGUUGCUGGGAUUGUUGUAGUGAAGUUUGUUGAGGUUUUAUUAUCUUUGUUCGGUAGUGCUGUUUCAUAGUGACAUAAUUUUUCUUUGUUCCCAGAAACAUUUGAAGUGGCUAAAACAAUAUCGAUGGGGCCAUCAUUGAAAAGUGGAUCAAAAGUUGGGAAAAGUGGAUCAAAAGUUCACGAACCAGACGAGCAUCCUCCCCAACAUAUUUCUUAACAAGUUCACAAAGCCAAAUUGUACAAGACUACUUGGCAGUAUAAGCAUUUUUGGGAGGAUUAAAUAUUUUUGGAUGGAUGUGUAUAGAUAACAAAUAUUAGUAGUUUUGAUUUGUUGAUAGCUGCGCAUGGAUAAUAAAUAGUUAUGUUUCAAAUUGUUAUGAUACAUGAAUGUGACUUGUGAAUGAAAACUUAGAAUAGUUGUAUUGUGUCGAAUGUUAAUGAAUUAUG